GCAGAUAUUCGUGAAUCAUCGAAUCUUUGAACGCACAUUGCGCCCUUUGGUAUUCCAAAGGGCAUGCCUGUUUGAGCGUCAUUUCUCCCUCAAACCCUCGGGUUUGGUGUUGAGCGAUACGCUGGGUUUGCUUGAAAAUCAUCCGGAUGGGUCUUCUGUCCCCUAAUCGUUGUGGAAACUUUUCACUAAAUGGUGUUCGGGAGGCUACGCCGUAAAAAACCCCAUUUCUAAGGUUGACCACCUAUCACGUAGGGAUACCCGCCAGAAAUAAAGCAUAUCAAUAACCGGAGGAAAAACAUCCUAGUCGAGAGUACCGAACUUUGCCUGUGGAGUAUUUGUAUGACAGAAACAAUUUUCGACAUACUGUGGUGGUGCCCUAUGAUCCGCCUGAGGUCUGG
rnacentral:misc_RNA from 1 species